GGAUACACGGUGUGAUAUACAGGGUGAACACUCAUCAUUUUGGAAAGUAUUGAGUGUAAGGGUAGAAUGGUACAUCAUUUAUAUGAUGGUACGCGCCUUUGAAUAAUGUUCCACUACUCUGUCCUUCCUCAAACUUAAAAUUGGAAUAUCUCGUCAACAGGUCGAUGGAAAUCAAAAAUGUCAAUGUUCAAAUAUAUGUAUAAUACUAAUAUUCCAUUUAUU